CAAAGAAAGUCUUAGUAGAGAAGGGACUAGGGAUGGAAGUAAGUGAUGUCUGAACAGUUUUCAUUGAAGUUCCUUGAAACCAGAACCAGAGUAUUAACAAUAUUACAAACAACACAACAAAGAAAGUACAGCUAGGAUGCAAAACAGAGCACAGUGAUGCAAACCCAAAUGCAAGUUAAUUUUGAAACCAAAUUAAAAAUUGCUAUAUAAAAUGAGAUGGGUAACUGCAAUCACAACUGAUGGUUUGCUAUUUGCAUGAAAAAUUAGCAGACAUUAAGUUGAAGGAAGUGAGUUUAUAGAGAAGUCCAUUUGCAUCAUAUUAAUCAAAAACUGGUUUUCUUAUUUAGGUAUAGAAAUACAGUAUGCAUAUUUAUAAUUUGAAUUAUAAAAAUAUUACUGUUGUACUUUAGAUUAUAAUUCCAAAGCUCUUUUUAAAAACUGAUUUCAGUUUCAUUAGGUUGUUUGGUGCUUUGGGCCCAAAACAGCAGCCUGAAAACGGUCCCUGUAAGUUGACAAGCCCUUGAGUAGCCAGGAAGUUUCAAGAAAUAGGCCCCUUCACAGAAAGUGUCAGUUUUCCACAAUAUUGUUGUGUCUAUUAAUGUAGUAAAUCCCUCUCCAUAUUUUUAAUAGCCUGGCCAAACCAUACCUGGAGGCAUUAGAUGAUAUGAUCAAUGAGGAGGAAGGGGAGUUAGAAGACGACGAAGAAAAAGAAGAAGAAGGACAACAGAAUCAAGAAGAACAAGAGGAAGGGCAAGAAGAACAAGACAAUGAUGAUGAAAACCUCUACAGAAAGUUAAUAGAGGAUGAGUUUAGUGACAGUGAUGUAGAAUAAUCAGUAUUUAUUUUGCAGAUUUUUUAAAUUUUUAUCACAGACAGACAGACAGUAUUUCUUUCACAGAUGUAUUAAUAAGUAGUAAUUAAGUAAAUAGAGGAUGAGUCUGAAAUUGUUUUGAUUGUUCUACACUUACAACAGCUUAUUCAAAUUAGCCCAAGCUCAAAGGCUGAAGAAAAUAUGUCAUUACUUUUUUUACUAAAUGAACCACAAAUCACUAUGUUGUCUGUGAAUAGUUUUGUUGGAUCUAGAUUUAAGGGACAAAAGAGUGACAGAACUUUUCAUCUUUGUUAUAACAACCCAGUCACAGUCAUGCAUGACUAACUGUGGCCACCUUCCAUGGUUUAAAUAAGCUAAUCAAAAUGCAUGAACUAGGUAUGGUGAAAAUAUCAAGCAUCAUGUAACCUGUUGAUCAGUCGACAACUUCACCUCUCACAUUUCUUUUCAUAAUUUGGGAUUUGCCAGGUUUGAAUGGAAGCCAUAAGAAAGUCGUUGAAAACAUAUCAAAAAAU